rnacentral:rRNA from 1 species
AACGAACGCUGGCGGCAGGCUUAACACAUGCAAGUCGAGCGCCCCGCAAGGGGAGCGGCAGACGGGUGAGUAACGCGUGGGAACGUACCCUUUGCUACGGAAUAGCUCCGGGAAACUGGAAUUAAUACCGUAUGUGCCCUACGGGGGAAAGAUUUAUCGGCAAAGGAUCGGCCCGCGUUGGAUUAGCUAGUUGGUGGGGUAAUGGCCUACCAAGGCGACGAUCCAUAGCUGGUCUGAGAGGAUGAUCAGCCACAUUGGGACUGAGACACGGCCCAAACUCCUACGGGAGGCAGCAGUGGGGAAUAUUGGACAAUGGGUGCAAGCCUGAUCCAGCCAUGCCGCGUGAGUGAUGAAGGCCUUAGGGUUGUAAAGCUCUUUCACCGGGGAAGAUAAUGACGGUACCCGGAGAAGAAGCCCCGGCUAACUUCGUGCCAGCCGCCGCUGUAAAAC